rnacentral:rRNA from 1 species
AGCGAACGCUAGCGGUAGGCCUAACACAUGCAAGUCGAACGGCAGCACAGUAAGAGCUUGCUCUCACGGGUGGCGAGUGGCGGACGGUUGCGGAAUACAUCGGAAUCUACUUUUUCGUGGGGGAUAACGUAGGGAAACUUACGCUAAUAACGCAUAUGUCCUACGGGUGAAAGCCGGCGAUCUUCGGACUUUUUGCGAUUGUAUGAGCCUAUGUCGGAUUAGCUCGUUGGCGGGUUAAAGGCACACCAAGGCGACGAUCCGUAUCUGGUCUGAGAGUAUGAUUAGGCACCCUGGAAGUGAGACACGGCACAUACUCCGACGGGAGGACGCGGUGGGGAAUACUGCACGAUGGACGAAAGCCGGAUCCAGGAAUACCGCGGGAGUGAAGAAGGAGUUAGGGUUGUAAAGCCCUUUUGUUGGGAAAGAAGAGCAGCAGGUUAACACCGCACUGUUAUGACGGUACCCAAAGAAUAAGCACCGGCUAACUUCGUG